GACGAACGCUGGCGGCGUGCUUAACACAUGCAAGUCGAGCGGUAAGGCCCUUUCGGGGGUACACGAGCGGCGAACGGGUGAGUAACACGUGGGUGACCUGCCCUCAGCUCUGGGAUAAGCCCGGGAAACUGGGUCUAAUACCGGAUAUGACUUCAUGACGCAUGUUGUGGAGUGGAAAGCCUUGUGCGGCUGAGGAUGGGGCCCGCGGCCUAUCAGCUUGUUGGUGGGGUGANGGCCUACCAAGGCGACGACGGGUAGCCGGCCUGAGAGGGCGACCGGCCACACUGGGACUGAGAUACGGCCCAGACUCCGUACGGGAGGCAGCAGGUGGGGAAUCUUGCGCAAUGGGCGAAAGCCUGACGCAGCGACGCCGCGUGAGGAUGAC
rnacentral:rRNA from 1 species